GGGUUGUGAGGUUAAGCGACUAAGCGUACACGGUGGAUGCCCUGGCAGUCAGAGGCGAUGAAGGACGUGCUAAUCUGCGAUAAGCGUCGGUAAGGUGAUAUGAACCGUUAUAACCGGCGAUUUCCGAAUGGGGAAACCCAGUGUGUUUCGACACACUAUCAUUAACUGAAUCCAUAGGUUAAUGAGGCGAACCGGGGGAACUGAAACAUCUAAGUACCCCGAGGAAAAGAAAUCAACCGAGAUUCCCCCAGUAGCGGCGAGCGAACGGGGAGCAGCCCAGAGCCUGAAUCAGUGUGUGUGUUAGUGGAAGCGUCUGGAAAGGCGCGCGAUACAGGGUGACAGCCCCGUACACAAAAAUGCACAUGCUGUGAGCUCGAUGAGUAGGGCGGGACACGUGGUAUCCUGUCUGAAUAUGGGGGGACCAUCCUCCAAGGCUAAAUACUCCUGACUGACCGAUAGUGAACCAGUACCGUGAGGGAAAGGCGAAAAGAACCCCGGCGAGGGGAGUGAAAAAGAACCUGAAACCGUGUACGUACAAGCAGUGGGAGCACGCUUAGGCGUGUGACUGCGUACCUUUUGUAUAAUGGGUCAGCGACUUAUAUUCUGUAGCAAGGUUAACCGAAUAGGGGAGCCGAAGGGAAACCGAGUCUUAACUGGGCGUUAAGUUGCAGGGUAUAGACCCGAAACCCGGUGAUCUAGCCAUGGGCAGGUUGAAGGUUGGGUAACACUAACUGGAGGACCGAACCGACUAAUGUUGAAAAAUUAGCGGAUGACUUGUGGCUGGGGGUGAAAGGCCAAUCAAACCGGGAGAUAGCUGGUUCUCCCCGAAAGCUAUUUAGGUAGCGCCUCGUGAAUUCAUCUCCGGGGGUAGAGCACUGUUUCGGCAAGGGGGUCAUCCCGACUUACCAACCCGAUGCAAACUGCGAAUACCGGAGAAUGUUAUCACGGGAGACACACGGCGGGUGCUAACGUCCGUCGUGAAGAGGGAAACAACCCAGACCGCCAGCUAAGGUCCCAAAGUCAUGGUUAAGUGGGAAACGAUGUGGGAAGGCCCAGACAGCCAGGAUGUUGGCUUAGAAGCAGCCAUCAUUUAAAGAAAGCGUAAUAGCUCACUGGUCGAGUCGGCCUGCGCGGAAGAUGUAACGGGGCUAAACCAUGCACCGAAGCUGCGGCAGCGACACUGUGUGUUGUUGGGUAGGGGAGCGUUCUGUAAGCCUGUGAAGGUGUGCUGUGAGGUAUGCUGGAGGUAUCAGAAGUGCGAAUGCUGACAUAAGUAACGAUAAAGCGGGUGAAAAGCCCGCUCGCCGGAAGACCAAGGGUUCCUGUCCAACGUUAAUCGGGGCAGGGUGAGUCGACCCCUAAGGCGAGGCCGAAAGGCGUAGUCGAUGGGAAACAGGUUAAUAUUCCUGUACUUGGUGUUACUGCGAAGGGGGGACGGAGAAGGCUAUGUUGGCCGGGCGACGGUUGUCCCGGUUUAAGCGUGUAGGCUGGUUUUCCAGGCAAAUCCGGAAAAUCAAGGCUGAGGCGUGAUGACGAGGCACUACGGUGCUGAAGCAACAAAUGCCCUGCUUCCAGGAAAAGCCUCUAAGCAUCAGGUAACAUCAAAUCGUACCCCAAACCGACACAGGUGGUCAGGUAGAGAAUACCAAGGCGCUUGAGAGAACUCGGGUGAAGGAACUAGGCAAAAUGGUGCCGUAACUUCGGGAGAAGGCACGCUGAUAUGUAGGUGAAGUCCCUCGCGGAUGGAGCUGAAAUCAGUCGAAGAUACCAGCUGGCUGCAACUGUUUAUUAAAAACACAGCACUGUGCAAACACGAAAGUGGACGUAUACGGUGUGACGCCUGCCCGGUGCCGGAAGGUUAAUUGAUGGGGUCAGCGCAAGCGAAGCUCUUGAUCGAAGCCCCGGUAAACGGCGGCCGUAACUAUAACGGUCCUAAGGUAGCGAAAUUCCUUGUCGGGUAAGUUCCGACCUGCACGAAUGGCGUAAUGAUGGCCAGGCUGUCUCCACCCGAGACUCAGUGAAAUUGAACUCGCUGUGAAGAUGCAGUGUACCCGCGGCAAGACGGAAAGACCCCGUGAACCUUUACUAUAGCUUGACACUGAACAUUGAGCCUUGAUGUGUAGGAUAGGUGGGAGGCUUUGAAGUGUGGACGCCAGUCUGCAUGGAGCCGACCUUGAAAUACCACCCUUUAAUGUUUGAUGUUCUAACGUUGACCCGUGAUCCGGGUUGCGGACAGUGUCUGGUGGGUAGUUUGACUGGGGCGGUCUCCUCCUAAAGAGUAACGGAGGAGCACGAAGGUUGGCUAAUCCUGGUCGGACAUCAGGAGGUUAGUGCAAUGGCAUAAGCCAGCUUGACUGCGAGCGUGACGGCGCGAGCAGGUGCGAAAGCAGGUCAUAGUGAUCCGGUGGUUCUGAAUGGAAGGGCCAUCGCUCAACGGAUAAAAGGUACUCCGGGGAUAACAGGCUGAUACCGCCCAAGAGUUCAUAUCGACGGCGGUGUUUGGCACCUCGAUGUCGGCUCAUCACAUCCUGGGGCUGAAGUAGGUCCCAAGGGUAUGGCUGUUCGCCAUUUAAAGUGGUACGCGAGCUGGGUUUAGAACGUCGUGAGACAGUUCGGUCCCUAUCUGCCGUGGGCGCUGGAGAACUGAGGGGGGCUGCUCCUAGUACGAGAGGACCGGAGUGGACGCAUCACUGGUGUUCGGGUUGUCAUGCCAAUGGCACUGCCCGGUAGCUAAAUGCGGAAGAGAUAAGUGCUGAAAGCAUCUAAGCACGAAACUUGCCCCGAGAUGAGUUCUCCCUGACUCCUUGAGAGUCCUGAAGGAACGUUGAAGACGACGACGUUGAUAGGCCGGGUGUGUAAGCGCAGCGAUGCGUUGAGCUAACCGGUACUAAUGAACCGUGAGGCUUAACCUUACAACGCCGAAG
rnacentral:rRNA from 1 species